CUGCCCCGCCGUGACUCAGCCGUUUUCGCCCCGGGGCGCGCUGAGCCGCCGCCACCGCAGCCGCAGCCGCGGCCGCGACGCGCCUUCUUCCGCCCUUAGGUGCGGGCCUCCAAGGUCCUGAAAGGGGCUGACUGCUCGUUAAAGCGUCCCUGUACAAGGCCCUUCUCGGUAAAUAGAGGACUUGAAGCCUCAGCUCAGGAAAAUAUUCCUCAGCCCCCAGUGCAGAGAGUGGGAAAUCUUGACCCGGGCAAUUGAGGUCUAGGUCUUUAAAACGUGACAACCUAUGUUGGAACUUCAGCACUACCACUACCAGGGCGUGUGACCCCCAGAGAGUCAACUUCAUCUAGCCAAAUCUCACUUUGUACAUGGGCGAAAUGGAGUUUUGCUUUCCUUUGAGUUGACUACAUUCUCAGGCAGGUUUUCCCUAUGUGGGAACAAAGAUGGCCACCAGCAGAUCCAGGUUACAUUCUAGCAAUUUAGUAACCUAGCAGAAAGCAUCUCUAUCAUUCUCAGAUGUAUUGACAUGGAGGAUAACAAUAGAAAAUAAUUCAGAUCACAGGAAUCUACCCCCAAAACCAAGAGCACAUUGUUUACACUGUA